UACGGGGGGAGCAAGCGUUGUUCGGAUUUACUGGGCGUAAAGGGCGCGUAGGCGGCGUGACAAGUCACUUGUGAAAUCUCCGGGCUUAACUCGGAACGGUCAAGUGAUACUGUCGUGCUAGAGUACAGAAGGGGCAACUGGAAUUCUCGGUGUAGCGGUGAAAUGCGUAGAUAUCGAGAGGAACGCCUGCGGCGAAGGCGGGUUGCUGGGCUGAUACUGACGCUGAGGCGCGAAAGCCAGGGGAGCGAACGGG
rnacentral:rRNA from 1 species